AAGACUCGAAAACCAUCGCGAAACAUACCUCGUCAGUCGUUGCUUCGGCGGGCGGCCCCAGGCGGGGCCGUAGCCCGAGCAGGGCGCCCGCCGGAGGAACGUCAAGAAACACUCUUUUUUUUUUUUGCGUCUCUUCUGAGUUUAAUUGACUAAGUUAACAAUUGAGUCAAAACUUUCAACAACGGAUCUCUUGGUUCUGGCAUCGAUGAAGAACGCAGCGAAAUGCGAUAAGUAAUGUGAAUUGCAGAAUUCAGUGAAUCAUCGAAUCUUUGAACGCACAUUGCGCCCGCCAGUAUUCUGGCGGGCAUGCCUGUUCGAGCGUCAUUUCAACCCCUCAAGCCCUGCUUGGUGUUGGGGCCCCUACGUGCGCCGUAGGCCCCGAAUUUUAGUGGCGGGCUCGCCGCGAAACCGAGCGUAGUAGUAUUACCCUCGCUCAGGACGUCGCGGUGGGCGCCGGCCGUGAAAGARAACGUGUUUACAACACAGUACAGGUUGACC
rnacentral:misc_RNA from 1 species